AUAUCCUCAGGCAGUUAUAGGUUUAACAUCCACUGAAAUCAAACUGUUUUGCUAAUAUGUGAGGGACUAUACUUUGACUCUAUGGCAAAUUUUUAUAAUGUUCAAUUAACAAACUUUCUUCCAAAAAGCCAGGCCAAAGGGUCCCACUGCAUAUGCAGCUAGCUAGAUUUAUCACAUUUACAUUAGCUACUCUGAGCAGAAAAUAGUGAGUUCAUAAAAAACCUAAAAGUGUCUCGAUUCAGCAGAAGCUGUUGCAUAGACCUGCUCUUAUUCACUUUGCUAUUUUGACUGCCCCUUGCAAGCACUACUGUGAAUACUCAAAAGCACUUUUUCAAAUGAAAGAAAAUCAGAGCAUCUAGUGUCGGCAAGCCUUGUAAAGUCCGUACAUGUUUACACUUGGCAUCAGAUUACACACAUUUGACUUCUUGAUUUACUGAGCACACUUGUGUUUUCCCUUCUUUUGUCAGAAAUAAAAUACAGCUAUUCUUAAGAGAAGUCUUUGUUUUUAGAAAGACCUAAUUUGUACUGUAUGUUAGGAGAGUUCACUUUUCGCCCCACCCAGAGAGAAGCCUGAUCCAAAUACCAGGGGAAAAAAGAGAAACUCAGAAGAGGUUAAUUUGGGUAACGGCAAUGUCUGUUUGCAAGAUGUAAAAAUAGAGAAAGACAGAGAAAGAAAACAGACAGUGAAGUCUUUGGACAGGUUUGGGGGGGGGUUUUUUGCUGCAUCACAAAAGCAAUUCUGCUGAAAUCUUACUCGGAACAUUGCCUGAGUAAAAAAGAGAAACACAGUUCUUAAAUUAUUUUGUACUUUCCACGUAGAGGAACAGUCAGAACUGUAUGGGGUUUUACGCCUUCUUAGUAGCCAGCUUAUAAACAGUGCUGCUACCAGUCUUUCCAUAGGAAAAAUAGUGUUCUGUGGAUGAUGAUAACAUGACUAACUGCCUGAGCUUCAGAGGCAUAGAAGGACUUCUACCUAAAUAAGGUGGGGUGUCAGGCUAUCUAUUAACUAACAGACGACUGGCAAUCAAUAAACAUUAGAUGAGAGUCAGAAAUCAGAGAACAAUCUUACACAAGUGAAAAAUUUGCAUGUUUACUUUUCUAUCUCUUAUUUCUGUGAUUCCCCAAGAAGAAUAUUACAUUAAAUCAGAUGAAAGGGAAGAGGUUUUAUUUGAACAAUGUGUGUUAACAAGCCAUCAAGUGGAACAUUGGUAUGUAAGAGUUUGAGAAUCAAACUCAUAAAGAUAGCAGUAGCCACAACAAAGUGAAUAACUAGGUGAGACCUGAAAUUUUCAACAUAUUUUUAUGGAUAUUUACAUGCAGGAAAAGGAAACUUAUCCAAAUAUAGAAAUCAGGUCAAUCAAAAACAGUUGUGUGAUUUCCAAGAUAAUUCAGAAACUGCCCUAUUGAUCAUUAUGCAAAAGAAAAGCAAGAUAAAUCGAACACCAUUUGUUCCUGCUGAUAAUUUGAGGGAAAGCCAUAAUCCAAACCCAUUUUUUUCCAAAUGCAACAAAGCAGAACUGCCUCAAAACAUGGUUUGAUGCCCUCUGUACACAGGCAACCUAAAAUCAGCCCAAAAUAAACCAUUUAUGAGCAAGUAAACAAACAAAACAUUUGGUUAUGAAUCCUACUAUCUCUCUAAAUUUCCUGACAAGUGAGCACACUUUGCUUUGCUGCCAUGGGGAAUCCUACUGAAGAUUUGCAGUACUGAAGCCUUACUUAUAGCUCCCAUAAUCUAAACACAAUAUAUUCAUCUAGAUGAAAAAAAAAAAAAAAAA
ensembl:lncRNA